rnacentral:lncRNA from 1 species
AUGCACUGUGUAUGCGGAUUUAGUAGUCGAUCCGGCAAUAAGCUUACCAAACAUUUGGCGGAGUGCAAACGCAAAUCUGCUUAUCCAAGCGCUGAAAGAGCAGCCCAAAACACGGUUCAGUCGCAGUCAGCCAGUUUCCCACCAUUGGUUUCCUUAGAUGAUGCAGAUGCUGCAGACCCUACGGAUAGAUGGCUUAGAGCUUUUGUGACUCCCAAUGAAAACGCUGAGAAGACGCCUCCACCUCUGAAAGCCAAUCUGUCAGAAGCUCCACCAAUGUUGAAUGUUCUGGGUCUUGCGAGGCGCGAUCCGGAACAAACCUCUGAUGACUCGAAUAGUAAAAUUUCCGAUGGGAAACCUGACUCCACCGUCGAUGAUGUCGAAAUCAAUUCGAACGAGUUUGAUAAAAAUAAGCAUCUUUCUAAGGAAGAAUCAAAAGUAGAACAGGAAGCGUCUGUAAAUCAUAAUAAUUCUGGUGAUGUGAUAGAAUUGGACGAUGAUUCAGAAGUGGAAUUAACAAAGGAUCAUGGAUCGUUCAAAAAGAUCAAAUUAAGCCAGAAUCCAAAUAACAAGCCUGCAAAUAAAGAGGAAAUAAAUGAUGUGGAAGUUAUGGAUGUUGAUGAACAACCUGAAAAGAAACCAAAUGAAACGAAUGAUUCGAACUCAGCCGUCACGGAUGAAAAACAAACUGAAAAUUGCAAAAUUAAUUAUAACUCUGAAAAUGAAGUUAAGUCUGAAGUCGGAGAUGUUGAGGAAAAGCCAACAAAAGAGGUUGAAGUAAACAACACAAACCUGACCGUUGCGAUAGGUAAUUCAACAUCAAAGAGUGAAGCGGACACACCUAAUGAAUUAGAUGGGAGUAAAAGCCCAAGUGAAAGAAAUAAAAUUAGUGAUCUAGAUAUUGUCGAGGUAGACGAAGUCUACUCAGGAAAUCACAAAACAAAUAAUUCAAGUCUCAUAGAUGUCAAUAAAAAAUCAGCUAAAGUCUUAGAGAGUAGUAAUUUAAGCAUUGUAGAUGUAAAAAGCUACGCAAAUAAUGAUAUAAACAUGCUAGACUUAGAAAAUGGUGAAAAAAAUGAUGUGAACAUAAUCGACUUUGAAACCAAUGGUUUCCAGAAUAAUGUACAGACCAAAAAAAGUACAGAGAUUAUUUCAAAUGAUGAAAUGAAUGCUGCUGUCGAAAGUAUCCGCGAAAUUUCAUCAUGA